GGAGCGAAUCUACCAAAAAUUGUCCCAGUUCAGAUUGCAGGCUGCAACUCGCCUGCAUGAAGUCGGAAUUGCUAGUAAUCGUGGAUCAGCAUGCCACGGUGAAUACGUUCCCGGGCCUUGUACACACCGCCCGUCACACCAUGGGAGUCGGUAACACCCGAAGCCUGUAGUCUAACCGCAAGGAGGACGCAGUCGAAGGUGGGAUUGAUGACUGGGGUGAAGUCGUAACAAGGUACC
rnacentral:rRNA from 1 species